AACGAACGCUGGCGGCGUGCCUAACACAUGCAAGUCGUGCGAGAAAGUUCCUUCGGGAGCGAGUAAAGCGGCGCACGGGUGAGUAACACGUAGGUAACCUGCCCCCCAGUCUGGAACAACUAGAGGAAACUCUAGCUAAUGCCGGAUGAGACCACGAUCCCUUCGGGGGGUUGCGGCCAAAGAUGGCCUCUACUUGUAAGCUAUCGCUGAGGGAUGGGCCUGCGGGCCAUUAGCUUGUUGGUGAGGUAACGGCUCACCAAGGCUGUGAUGGCUAGCUGGUCUGAGAGGAUGACCAGCCACACUGGGACUGAGACACGGCCCAGACUCCUACGGGAGGCAGCAGUGGGGAAUAUUGCGCAAUGGGCGAAAGCCUGACGCAGCGACGCCGCGUGGGU
rnacentral:rRNA from 1 species